GUCUAGAUACAUCAGUAUUUUAAUGGCAAGUACAGGCAGUGCUCUAUCAACAUGAAAUCUUGAGAAAUUAAUUAACGGAAUUGAAAUCAAUUUAAUCAGAAAUUGUUUUUAACUGUAUCAAAAUUAAUGUGCUUAACAGUUCAAUAAAGUACGAUAUCAACAUUCUUAAAAUAGGGACAUGUACGUAAAGGAUCAAGGUGACAGAGCAUUUCAUUACCGCGGUGCGCCGCAAAUCAGGCGACCGGUCGCGCGUCGCGGUCUACAGUGUUUUGGAAAGCCACUUUCUAAGUGUUGGCCGCUCAGAUCAGGCAAAUACCCCACUGUGCGAUGCAAGAAAAAUUUAUAUAGAAAAAUGUUAACAGAUUUCUGAUAACA